AGGGUUGACCAAAAGUUUUCGUCUGAGGCUCAAAUUCGAAGCUCCGAAGCUUUUCUGAGCCUCAGCAUUGGAGCAGGGAGUGAAGUGAUUUGUUUGCUGGAGCAGGAGGAGCAGGCCAGCUGCAACCACAGCAGCUGGGGUCCAGCUUCUGCUGCCAGCACAACACCGUCAGGGAGCAGAGAAGGCUGUGAGUAUGGCUGCGCUGACCUAUAGGGCAGGGUGCGACAGUGCUGACAGCUUAAUUCUCAGGCAGCUGAACAGUGAAGAGCUCUCACUCAUCAUCUCAUCUCCCUCUACAGAGCUUAUUUUCCAAGGGGAAAAAUCAAAAGAUGGCUGGGAGAGCAGCAUCACGCACCUGACUUUCUGGGAAGGAGCUGGAGCUGCUCCAUGUUCCUUGAUCAAGGUGGCAACAAGCCUGCACCGCUGAUGUGCCUGCACUGCCCCCUCCUCCAGGUGGCAGCAUAGCUGAAGAGGAUGAGCACACACGUGGCACGUUUGUCUCCUGAGAGGUCUGGAACUAAGCACAGAUGACUCAAAACGUUAAAAACCCAGUAGUUUAUUUCAAAGUAUAAAUUUCAGGCUUGUCAGACAAAACCCCACUACAGGUACCACACACGCACACGCAUACACACGCACACACACAAAUCUACAGUACAUACAAAAUGGGGGAGUGCUUGCAACUGCCCAGUUUAAAUUGGACAUUAAAAGCAGUCCUACAUUUUUUGUAUUUACAAGUCCAGCUGCAAAACAAAACAAGAAAUCAGAUUGAGUUGCUUGCAAAGACUUUUGCAUGUUUGACUCACUAGUCAAUAACUUACUACAGCUGAACAGGCCUCCCCAAACAGCUACUACCCAGUUACCUUAUUUACAGCUAUACCCCAUUAAAUUAAGACAGCACUUCAAAUAUAUAUAUAUAUAUAUAUAAUACAUUAAAAAAAAAAAAGCUCAGCCUGCACAAUGACAAUGCAAAAUAAAGAGGCAUUUUAAUGGGUGUGUAGAAGGUAUGAAAAGGAAAAAUUCAUUCAUUUGCUUUUUUUUAGGUGUCAUUUUUUUCACUCUCCCCUCAGAAGGGAAUACAGGCAGGGGCAGGGCUGGCUCUGUGAAUGUCAUUUGAACUCCUCCCUCCAGUGUUUGCACACAAUGCCAACCCCUACCCAAACUAAAAAAUAUAUAUAUAUUUAAUAUCCUAAGCUUCUAUUUGAAAAAAAUCUGGAUUUUUUUACUAAAUGAAAAUACUGAAGAGUUUAUAAGAAGGCAGAAUCACAGAUUGACUGUACAGUGUAUACAAUAGUCUAGAACUGGGGAAUGGCUGUUUGGGGAGCAAGAACAGAUUUGACCUGGUCCUACGUAUAAUACAGAUUCUGAUAUAUUGGACACUUAAGACAAACAGUGUAAAGGAAAGGGUGAAGGGAUAUUUUUGUUACAGUACAAAACAGUGUUCAGAUCCUACUAUUGGGCCCAGUCAUGCUCCCACUGAAGGCACGAGGGGUUUUGCCAUUGCUUUCAAAUGAAGCAGUCAGUAUAAGACCCCUUAUUUUUACAGGGAAGACACCGUGGGCAUUUCCAGCCUUGUGCUAAAAACAUAGGGGUGGGUGAGUGUCUCAGUGCUUGUGCUCAGUGAUCUAACAUGGCAAAGUGCAGCACAAGUAAUACAGGAGAAAAGACCUGGGCCAGCUGCUACUCCCAGGGAAGCUGGGUUGGAGCCCAGAAUUACACAGCCUGAGAGGAACUGGCCCCUGCACCCUCCCAUUUUCUCAAGUUGCCAUGCAGCUGCAGUAACAGAUGCUAUACCUACAGUCUGCACCCUUCCUAAGGGUUUAGUUAUUUGAAUCCAAUAAAGCUUUUUAGACUUUUACUGAAAUAAAGGAGGUCAGUGAAGCUGUAGCUAAGAGAAACUCAGAGGAAGAUAAGGGCAUUUUGCCACCAGUAUGCCACAGUAGGGCUUCCCUUCCAACUGGAGACUGAACUAACUCGAAUUACUUUCAGCCUGGACAUCCACAUGCCCGUGUAUUACACAAAGAAACCAAACCAAACCUAAAACAAAACAGAAAGGAGGGAUGGAAAACACUAGUGUAGAAUCAGUGCAGUGUUUUCCAAAACAUGGAGAACUAGAUCCAAGGUAGUGCUGCUAAAAUGUCACAUACCCAGUGGCAACAACGCAAAUCAUAAGCCAGGAACAAAUUUAUACCAAGGUACUGAAAAUAAGAUGGAAAAACGUGCAGGGAAGGCAUUUUGAUAAUGCCCCUUUUGGUUACUCCUGAAAGUGGCCUGGCAGUGGGACUUGAUGAUCGCUGUAGGUCCCUUCCAACUGAACUAUUCUAUUCUACCACCUGAAAGUCACAUAGAGAUUUUUAGCAUAUUUAAAAAUGAAUUACUGGAAAACUUCAGCAACUAACAUUUUUAUGAUGAGCCCACUCUAAAAGCACUGUGUUAAUAGAUCUGGACUGAAUGUUCCUGGAUGUUUUGGUAAUACUUUCAAAUAAAGUCUAUGAAAUGAAGCCAAUUCUUUUUGAAUGUGUUAUUGGCAGAAAUUCAUUUCCCCAGUAUUCUUAUUUUUCCUGGGAGAUUAAAGGAUAAAUUAAAAAUAGCCACCCCACAACACUGGGAAAAGUGCCAUUUGAGUUAAGGAACUAAGCAAUACUCCUGUUUGUUAACAUAAGGGGUAAAUAUUCACUGCGGAGAUCUGGUCCACCAUGAAAAUAAUUUUACAGCAGUAGCAUAGUCCUCUCUUGGCGUGUGUGUGUUAACCAGCUACCUGCAAUGUCUCCAAACUGAGCUAGACAUCUGGAAGUCAAGCUAGGCUCCGUCACGUACUUUGCCACCACCACUUGCGUAAGAUCCUGAAAUUGGAUCUUAACAUCUCUGCUGCGAUGAAAGAAGAGUCUGCUUUCACCCUACAACACUGAUGGCUUCAGUCAGCAAAUAGUAACUAGCUGGUUUGCUCUAGUCACAAAAAUCAGCUGCACUUUGCCAUACAUAGCAGAAACAGAUCUAUUAAGCAAGAAGCCUGCUUUUACUCUGUUCAGUUGAGAACUACAUCUUUCUUUAGUAAAUAAAGAUGAGUCCUCUCUCUAAAGAUGCAGUCCACAUAACCUGCAAAAACAGUACCAGAUCAUCCCUAAUAAUACCUCCAUUGGAGGAAAGAGAGAAAUUCUAACACAGGACUUUCACCCCCCAUCUAACUCGAGCAAGACAAAGCUAGUAACAACCAUGACCUAAGAGCAAGCACAAACUAUAAAAAAGUUGAUUUACAGAUUGGGCUGGAAUCAAAAUUAAAUAAGCAGCAUAAGUUCCAGGUUGUAUUCUAAUAUUUAUUUUAACUUUCAAACUAUAAAACCUCAUUGUACUGAUAUGGCCAACGGCCCUUUGGUACCACCUCAAAGACAUUAAAGUAAUUGCCCAAGGAGGACUUAACAGCCAUCAACUGGAAGAAAUUGCGCUAAGCCUCUACUACAGAACUGGCUUUAUAAGGACUCAACUUUCCAUAAGUAGACUAAAUGCAUUAUUAAGUAAUUAUUCCUUGAAAUAGGCAGACAGAACAUUUAAUUAAACAUAGAAAAAUUCAAGGCAUUGUUCAUUAUUGGCACCAGUAAUACAGGGACAACUGUUAUUCAAAGGAAGGGUAACACAUUUUUCAUACAUGAGAUUGAGUGUGAACCUUCUCUCAUGAUACUUGGGUUUAGACAGAAUUUUUGCUCUCCCAGAUCAAUAAAACUGCCAUACUUUAAAUGCAAGUUUCCAUACAGAGAAUAUUAGUUACUCACCUGACAGAAGUGACAAUCCCAGCUAUGUGAAGGAGUGCAGUAAAACAGUAUAGACAAAAGUCUACAACGGACUGUCUUUCACCAAUAAGGUUCUUGAAGGGAAUACAACUGAAGAACCCAUUAUCUCAUAGUUUAUUUCACCAGCCGUAUUUGGGGAUUUAAUUAUUCCUGCCCUUUUUCAACCUUGCUUUAUAUUUAAAAGUUUCUUGGUUUUACGACAGCCAGCAUUGGAGUUGUGUGUGUUCUCUACAGUUUUGCCAGAUGGUGAAGUAGAUUAAAAAACAAAAGAAAACCACCUUUCCUUUCUAAAUUCACUGCUUAGUUCUGUUGGAAAGGAACAAGACUGCUGUCCUUGUUCUUAUAAGUGCCAAAAUAUAAACCUUACAUAUCCUUUCUCGUCCAGGUGUGUUAGAAUUUGGUUAUGCAAAAAGCAAGUUUAAGAUGCUGACAGGAUAGUGGGGCAGAUGUACCACUUUGUUUUCUCAACUCAGAAGCAUCGUGAAAGCUUCUAGUAACAUUUGCAGUUGCUCACAAGUUUUGGGCCAGUUUCUGAACUACUUUGGGUGUUUUAGCUUUUUGCAGAGGCAGACUGGAACAGAGAAGAGGACUGGGAAGCCAACUUCGUAUCUUUUUGUACUAACUGAACAUCCAAACUGAGUGCUAACAAGUAGAAGCUUUCAUGGUGCAACACCACAGAGGUUUCUUUGGCUGAACUGCAACAUAUAGCUUUCCCAAAAGAACAGGGAAAGACUGGUGGAAAAUACUGUCUGUAUAUUCUAAUGUUCUUCACAGGACACAAACAACUACUCAAUAAUUACAGUGAGGAAAGGGUUGAGUGAUACCGCAGAUAAAAACGAAUCCAG